rnacentral:rRNA from 1 species
UACAGAGGCCUCAAGCGUUGUUCGGAAUCACUGGGCGUAAAGGGUGCGUAGGCGGUUUGACAAGUCAAUUUGUUAAAAUCAUGCGCUCAACGCAUGAAUGCAUUUGAUACUAUCAAACUUGAGAUAUUUAGGGGAGACGGGAAUUCACGGUGUAGCAGUGAAAUGCGUAGAUAUCGUGAGGAACACCAAAGGCGUAGGCACGUCUCUACGAAUUUUCUGACGCUGAGGCACGAAGGCUAGGGUAGCAAAUGGG